CAGUCGACGGUAACAGGGAAGAAGCUUGCUUCUUUGCUGACGAGUGGCGGACGGGUGAGUAAUGCUUAGGGAUCUGCCUUUGAGUGGGGGACAACAGUUGGAAACGACUGCUAAUACCGCAUGAUGCCUACGGGCCAAAGGGGGCUUCGGCUCUCGCUCAAAGAGGAACCUAAGUGAGAUUAGCUAGUUGGUGAGGUAAUGGCUCACCAAGGCGACGAUCUCUAGCUGGUCUGAGAGGAUGAUCAGCCACACUGGAACUGAGACACGGUCCAGACUCCUACGGGAGGCAGCAGUGGGGAAUAUUGCACAAUGGGGGAAACCCUGAUGCAGCCAUGCCGCGUGUGUGAAGAAGGCCUUCGGGUUGUAAAGCACUUUCAGCAGUGAGGAAAGGGUAGGUGUUAAUACCAUCUAUCUGUGACGUUAACUGCAGAAGAAGCACCGGCUAACUCCGUGCCAGCAGCCGCGGUAAUACGGAGGGUGCGAGCGUUAAUCGGAAUUACUGGGCGUAAAGCGCAUGCAGGCGGUUGCGUAAGCCAGAUGUGAAAGCCCGGGGCUUAACCUCGGAAUAGCAUUUGGAACUGCGUAACUAGAGUCUUGUAGAGGGGGGUAGAAUUUCAGGUGUAGCGGUGAAAUGCGUAGAGAUCUGAAGGAAUACCAGUGGCGAAGGCGGCCCCCUGGACAAAGACUGACGCUCAGAUGCGAAAGCGUGGGUAGCAAACAGGAUUAGAUACCCUGGUAGUCCACGCCGUAAACGAUGUCAACUAGUUGCUUGUAGCUUUUACGCUGUGGGUGACGGAGCUAACGCAUUAAGUUGACCGCCUGGGGAGUACGGCCGC
rnacentral:rRNA from 1 species